UCUUCUUCUGGUUGGUUUCCUGUUGAAGCUGCUGAUUAAUUUCAUCUUCACUCAUCAGCUUGAUUCAGAUGAUUUUCAGCAUCUAAAGGUGAAGGUAGAACGACUCUGUGACCAGAUGUGGAUCUGAAUUCACCUGGUGUUUCUCUGCUAUGGAUCA